AUUGAACGCUGGCGGCAGGCUUAACACAUGCAAGUCGAGCGAGCGGCGGACGGGUGGGUAAUGUCUGGGAAACUGCCUGAUGGAGGGGGAUAACUACUGGACACGGAAGCUACUACCGCAUACCAUCAGAUGUGCCCAGUUGGGAGUAGCUAGUAGUGGGGGUAAUGGCACACCUAGGCGACGAUCCCUAGCUGGUCUGAGAGGAUGACCAGCCACACUGGAACUUAGACACGGUCCAGACUCCUACGGGAGGCAGCAGUGGGGAAUAUUGGACAAUGGGCGCAAGCCUGAUCCAGCCAUGCCGCGUGUGUGAAGAAGGCCUUCGGGUUGUAAAGCACUUUAAGCGAGGAGGCGUUACUCGCAGAAGAAGCACCGGCUAACUACGUGCCAGCCGCCGCGGUAAUUC
rnacentral:rRNA from 1 species